ACGAGACUCACCAGUGGUCGUCUUCCUCGUGGCAGACUACACCGGGUAGUGCAGCGGCGUACUGCUCGCCGUUCAUUCAUGCCUAGGCCAUCCAGGCCGUUCCCCUACCCCUACUUAAGACUCCCUGGAGCUUCAGCCCCAUUUUCCCCCUCUUCCCCGACCUCCUGUAACCCUAGAUCGACCGAGCCGCCUCGACGCCAUUGCCUCCGGCGAGUUCCGUGCAGGCAAGCUCCGAGGAUCCUGUUUGCGUCAGUUUGUUCGCCUUGCUAUGCUGUUUCUCAGGGACCGGAUUUAUCGCUCUAUCUCGUAGCAACCAAUGAGAUCAGGUAUCAUCUUCUCCGACUCCGACCACACUCCGGUGACGUGUCCGACAGUUUCGAUGGUCACCUGCAUCGAGCUGCUGCCCUGAACUGAACGCCAUCGUCAACCUGCUGCCAACGACAUUGACCACCGGAGCCUCUUCCUCCUUGGUUGACUUUUGCAUUGGGUUUAUGGUGAUGAGGAGGGUGUGAAUUGUGAGAACGACAAUUCAAGCAGGGUGAUAAAGGCAAAGCAGCCCUUAGGGUGUAUCAACUUUACUAUUCUGAAUAUGCUUGGUGUGAUGUGAUGAUUGUGUUGGAGACACUACCCUUGUUUUUUCUAAAUGAUUGUUUACUACUAUUAAUGUUGGUCAUUAGCAUGUGUAGGAGUUGUUAUGCCAUUGGUUCUAAGAAUCGGCCCUUGCUCUUUGGGUCUUGGGUGACU